rnacentral:rRNA from 1 species
CCUACGGUGGGCUGCAGUGGGGAAUAUUGGACAAUGGGCGAAAGCCUGAUCCAGCCAUGCCGCGUGUGUGAAGAAGGCCUUCGGGUUGUAAAGCACUUUCAGUGGGGAAGAAAGCCUUGGGGCUAAUACCCUCGAGGAAGGACAUCACCCACAGAAGAAGCACCGGCUAACUCCGUGCCAGCAGCCGCGGUAAUACGGAGGGUGCGAGCGUUAAUCGGAAUUACUGGGCGUAAAGCGCGCGUAGGCGGUCUGAUAAGCCGGUUGUGAAAGCCCCGGGCUCAACCUGGGAACGGCAUCCGGAACUGUCAGGCUAGAGUGCAGGAGGGGAAGGUAGAAUUCCCGGUGUCGCGGGGAAAUGCGUAGAGAUCGGGAGGAACACCAGUGGCAAAGGCGGCCUUCUGGACUGACACUGACGCGGAGGUGCGAAAGCGUGGUUAGCAAACAGGAUUAGAUACCCCGGUAUC